UAACAUCGCUGCGCCGUGGAGCGGAAGAAGAGCCACACUGGCUUACAACGUGAGCUACAGCAGUCAGCCAAUAACUGGCACACAAACAGUUGAGUGUCGUGUUUCCAACUCACUGUUGUCAAAGAUGGGCUGCGAGACGACGGGCGGCAGAGGAAACAUGUCCCCCGUGGGAAGGGUGAUGGACGCCUGGAAGCAAAGUCGCACAGAAUUCAGGUCAAACUCUUCCUCCCACACCUUGGGCUCAGGAACUGCAAUCAAAACAGAGAAAGGAAAAGGGUGGGGAGUGUAAUCACACAGCGCGGCAGUCUGACUGAGCACUGCAUCCUGUCAAGAAACGGUGGAACGCUUGGAAAAAAAAAACACAGAAAAAAACAGAAAAAUUGGCGUCUCAACAGGGUUUGUCCCAAUAAAACGUCCUGCUAAAGUUAUUAUUCUGAUUUGCAUUUCAAUUUGCAUCUGUAUUAUUAUCAUCAGUCUAGUUGGGCGCUAAGGAGAGAAUGCAGCAACUUAAAAGUAGAAAACGUUUGACACUUACUGCUGAAGGGGUUGUUGCUGGUCUGCAGUCUGCAAGUGAUGGCCUCGUUGACAUCCUUCUUCUUCACACACUGAAUGCCCAGGUUCUGAAAACUAAAGGGCAAAUACACCAAGUUUUAUUUAAGGGACGCCAGAGCUCCAUGUUUUGACUGAUUGGGUAUUGAUCUGUGUAAUUACAGAUAUUGGUAACACAAGUUUUGGUUGUUUUUUUUUUUUCUUUUGGCUUUAUUUAUGUACAGUUUUACAUUUUUUACAAAGAUUUCCCCUUAAUAUCUCCUUUCUGGGAACAAUGCCGAGCAGAAUACUUUAAGACCUUUUAGAAGGUUUGUCAGAAUUAUCAGACUCUGUUCAUUUAAUUAUAGUAAACAUGGCUGCAAAAAUCAAAAACCUAAUUUACGCAACAUUCCUUCAUAAUUGCAUCUAUUUAUUUUAAGGGAAUUUUUUCUUGCUUAAAUUAUAAUAUUUUGUAUGCUGUUUGGUUUUAGAAUCUGUAGAUUUUUUCAAUCAAUUUUCAAGCCUUUUUAAAAAAAAUGUACUCUAUAUUUGCACUGCUUGGACAGCAGAGAAACCUUUAUUAUCUGCAUUGUCUUAAAUUGAAAACUGUAUUAGGAGAAAAACAAACAUUUCUGUGAAAAAAGCAAAGAAAUCCAACUGGGUUCAUCAUCUUUAAAGCAGGAAAUUUAAAUAUUGGCCAAUAUAAUAUAAUGCAAUUGUAGCUUGUUGAUCUCUACAAUUUAAAUGUGUCGGGAUAAAAAAUUUUUUUUAAAAACCUAUAAAGUCCAACUUCCUAGCCAAAUAUAAUUUUAAGCAGAAUUUUAUUGCAUUUUUAAAAAAAAUCACAAUUAAGUCACUGUUGUUAUAGAGAUAAAAGGAAUGACAAGAACAAAAUAUGACUUCUCUUUUAGGUGACUGUCAGAUUGUGACUGUGUGUCAGAGCCAUUAUUACCCCAAAAACUCAAAUAAUGCUUUUGAAAAACAUCCCCAUUUGUACUACGCUUCUUUAGGACACAGGUCAAAUAAAGAAGUGUGAUUUGUACCACUAAACUGUUCAUAGUAACUGUAUUUUUAGAUUUAUUGGUAUUUAUUGAACUAUCAGUGGAGAAGAUAGUAAAACUAACAAUCUGGACAAAAGGAUGAAUUGAAAUGUAUCGCGGGAACGAUAAAUCAAUGUUAUGAUAAGAAAUGUAUCACGAUAAAUAAUACACUUAUCAGCGUA